AUUGAACGCUGGCGGCAUGCCUUACACAUGCAAGUCGAACGGCAGCACGGGAGCAAUCCUGGUGGCGAGUGGCGAACGGGUGAGUAAUAUAUCGGAACGUGCCCAGUCGUGGGGAUAACGUAGCGAAAGCUACGCUAAUACCGCAUACGAUCUACGGAUGAAAGCGGGGGAUCGCAAGACCUCGCGCGAUUGGAGCGGCCGAUAUCAGAUUAGGUAGUUGGUGAGGUAAAGGCUCACCAAGCCGACGAUCUGUAGCUGGUCUGAGAGGACGACCAGCCACACUGGGACUGAGACACGGCCCAGACUCCUACGGGAGGCAGCAGUGGGGAAUUUUGGACAAUGGGCGCGAAGCCUGAUCCAGCAAUGCCGCGUGCAGGAUGAAGGCCUUCGGUUGUAAC
rnacentral:rRNA from 1 species